GACGAACGCUGGCGGCGUGCUUAACACAUGCAAGUCGAACGGAAGGGCCCUGCUUUUGUGGUGUGCUCGAUUGGCGAACGGGUGAGUAACACGUGAGUAACCUGCCCUUGACUUUCGGAUAACUUCAGGAAACUGGGGCUACUAUAGGAUAGGAUCUCCUGCUGCGUGGUGGGGGUUGGAAAGUUUCGGCGGUUGGGGAUGGACUAGCGGCUUAUGAGCUUGUUGGUGGGGUAGUGGAUUACCAAGGCUUUGACGGGUAGCCCGCAUGAGAGGGGGAACGGGCACAUUGGGACUGCGAGACGGACCAGACUCCUACGGGAGGCAGCAGUGGGGAAUAUUGCACAACGGGCGCAAGCCUGAGGCAGCAACGCCCCGUGCGGGAUGACGGCCUUUGGGUUGUAAACCGCUUUCGCCUGUGACGAAGCGUGAGUGACGGUAAUGGGUAAAGAAGCACCGGCUAACUACGUG
rnacentral:rRNA from 1 species